GUGCCAGCCGCCGCGGUAAUACGGAGGGUGCAAGCGUUAUCCGGAUUCACUGGGUUUAAAGGGUGCGUAGGCGGGCUUAUAAGUCAGUGGUGAAAGCCCGGAGCUUAACUUCGGAACUGCCAUUGAUACUGUAAGUCUUGAGUACACUUGAGGUGGGCGGAAUACAUCAUGUAGUGGUGAAAUACUUAGAUAUGAUGUAGAACACCGAUUGCGAAGGCAGCUCACUAAAUUGUAACUGACGCUGAGGCACGAAAGCGUGGGGAUCAAACAGGAUUAGAAACCCUCGUAGUCC
rnacentral:rRNA from 1 species